rnacentral:rRNA from 1 species
UACGUAGGGUGCGAGCGUUGUCCGGAUUUAUUGGGCGUAAAGGGCUCGUAGGCGGCGUGUCGCGUCGGGAGUGAAAGCCCGUUGCUUAACGGCGGGUUGGCUUUCGGUACGGGCAUGCUGGAGUGCGGCAGGGGAGACUGGAAUUCCUGGUGUAGCGGUGGAAUGCGCAGAUAUCAGGAGGAACACCGGUGGCGAAGGCGGGUCUCUGGGCCGAAACUGACGCUGAGGAGCGAAAGCGUGGGGAGCGAACAGG